ACGGAAGGCAGCAGUGGGGGAUAUUGCACAAUGGGGGGAACCCUGAUGCAGCGACGCCGCGUGAGUGAAGAAGUAUUUCGGUAUGUAAAGCUCUAUCAGCAGGGAAGAAGAAAGACGGUACCUGACUAAGAAGCCCCGGCUAACUACGUGCCAGCAGCCGCGGUAAUACGUAGGUGGCGAGCGUUGUCCGGAUUUACUGGGUGUAAAGGGAGCGCAGGCGGGACAGCAAGUUGGAUGUGAAAUACCGAGGCUUAACCUCGGAGCUGCAUCCAAAACUGCCGUUCUUGAGUGAAGUAGAGGUAGGCGGAAUUCCGAGUAUAGCGGUGAAAUGCGUAGAUAUUCGGAGGAACACCGGUGGCGAAGGCGGCCUACUGGGCUUUAACUGACGCUGAGGCUCGAAAGUGUGGGGAGCAAACAGGAUUAGAUACCCUGGUA
rnacentral:rRNA from 1 species